rnacentral:rRNA from 1 species
CCUACGGGUGGCAGCAGUGAGGAAUAUUGGUCAAUGGGCGGAAGCCUGAACCAGCCAAGUCGCGUGAGGGAAGAAGGCCCUACGGUUCGUAAACCUCUUUUGCCGGGGAGCAAGGUCGGGGACGUGUCCCGGCCCGGAGAGUACCCGCAGAAUAAGCAUCGGCUAACUCCGUGCCAGCAGCCGCGGUAAUACGGGGGAUGCGAGCGUUAUCCGGAUUGAUUGGGUUUAAAGGGUGCGUAGGCGGGCUUUUAAGUCAGCGGUAAAAUUUCGGGGCUCAACCCGGGCCGGCCGUUGAAACUGGGGAACUUGAGUGGGCGAGAAGAAGGCGGAAUGCGUGGUGUAGCGGUGAAAUGCAUAGAUAUCACGCAGAACUCCGAUUGCGAAGGCAGCAUUCCGGCGCCCUACUGACGCUGAGGCACGAAAGUGGGGGGAGCGAACAGGAUUAGAUACCCGGGUAGUC